UACGAAGGGGGCUAGCGUUGUUCGGAAUCACUGGGCGUAAAGGGUGCGCAGGCGGGUUCAUAAGUCAGGGGUGAAAUUCCGAGGCUCAACUUCGGAACUGCCUUUGAUACUGUUGAUCUUGAGUUCGGAAGAGGUGAGUGGAACUGCGCGUGUAGAGGUGAAAUUCGUAGAUAUUUGCCAGAACACCGGUGGCGAAGGCGGCUCACUGGUCCGGAACUGACGCUGAGGGACGACAGCGUGGGGAGCAAACAGG
rnacentral:rRNA from 1 species